AUUGAACGCUGGCGGCAUGCCUUACACAUGCAAGUCGAACGGCAGCACGGGUGCUCGCACCUGGUGGCGAGUGGCGAACGGGUGAGUAAUACAUCGGAACGUACCUUAUCGGGGGGGAUACAGCAGCGAAAGCUGUGCUAAUACCGCAUACGCCCUGAGGGGGAAAGCGGGGGAUCGCAAGACCUCGCGCGAUUAGAGCGGCCGAUGCCUGAUUAGCUUGUUGGUGGGGUAAAAGCCCACCAAGGCGACGAUCAGUAGCUAGUCUGAGAGGACGAUCAGCCACACUGGGACUGAGACACGGCCCAGACUCCUACGGGAGGCAGCAGUGGGGAAUUUUGGACAAUGGGGGCAACCCUGAUCCAGCAAUGCCGCGUGAGUGAAGAAGGCCUUCGGGUUGUAAAGCUCUUUUGUCAGGGAAGAAACACCGGCUCUAACACAGUCCGGGAAUGACGGUACCUGAAGAAUAAGCACCGGCUAACUACGUGCCAGCCGCCGCCGUAA
rnacentral:rRNA from 1 species